rnacentral:rRNA from 1 species
GACGAACGCUGGCGGCGUGCUUAACACAUGCAAGUCGAACGGAAGGGCCCGGCUUUUGUGGGGUGCUCGAGUGGCGAAGGGGUGGGUAACACGUGAGUAACCUCCCCUUGACUUUGGGAUAACUUCAGGAAACUGGGGCUAUUACCGGAUAGGAGCUCCUGCUCCAUGGUGGGGGUUGGAAAGUUUCGGCGGUUGGGGAUGGACUCGCGGCUUAUCAGCUUGUUGGUGGGGUAGUGGCUUACCAAGGCUUUGACGGGUAGCCGGCCUGAGAGGGUGACCGGCCACAUUGGGACUGAGAUACGGCCCAGACUCCUACGGGAGGCAGCAGUGGGGAAUAUUGCACAAUGGGCGGAAGCCUGAUGCAGCAACGCCGCGUGCGGGAUGACGGCCUUCGGGUUGUAAACCGCUUUCGCCUGUGACGAAGCGUGAGUGACGGUAAUGGGUAAAGAAGCACCGGCUAACUACGUG